CCAGCUGCCAAACUAACCCUGAUUCAGAUGACCAUCCUACCUAUGCUAGAUCCCUGAGACGUAACACAUCAUUUAUAGAUCGGCAGUCUACACCACCAGUUGAUUGAGAGAUCCAGUUUGCAGCCGAACAUGCACCUUAGAGAAGACCAGCAAGUGGGCCCUCCUCAGCGUGUGUGACCAACCUUUUUGAUGAUAGUCCAGGAACUGAUCUACACUGCUAUGCCCAUCAAUGUGGCUCUGGCAAAGACCUCACCUCCAGCCUCACCUCUUGCCUGCUCACCAAUGGUUGUUUAUGGGGAGAAGAUAAUUAGAUGCAUGAGAUGCAGAGAUACCUGGCUCUCAACACAUCCACAAUAAGAUGGACUGGAGAUGCUUUUGCCAGGUGCCAGCCUCAGUCGUUUGAUGUGGAGACCAUAAUUGUUUUAUCUAAAGUGUUCUAACUUCAACAUAGUACCUGUUUGUGUAUCAGAUAUUACCUAUCUUAACUGCAAUUGGUAAUCGAACUGUGAUUGUGUAUGUGUUCACAGAAACAUGUAAGGAGCAAGCCAAAAAGCUAGGCCAAAUCAGCGGGUGCAAUUUCUCACCACAAUGCCUACUCCACCCAUGGAUCCACCCAAACAUUCUCAAACAACCUAAUUCAUACUCUUCAGAGGGAUAAUGGACUUUACAGUGCCCUGCUAUUAAGAUUAUGUAUACCGAGAUUAUAUAUGUAUAUAUACACUGCUCAAAAAAAUAAAGGGAACACUUAAACAACACAAUGUAACUCCAAGUCAAUCACUCUUCUGUGAAAUCAAACUGUCCACUUAGGAAGCAACACUGAUUGACAAUACAUUUCACAUGCUGUUGUGCAAAUGGAAUAGACAAAAGGUGGAAAUUAUAGGCAAUUAGCAAGACACCCCCAAUAAAGGAGUGAUUCUGCAGGUGGUGACCACAGACCACUUCUCAGUUCCUAUGCUUCCUGGCUGAUGUUUUGGUCACUUUUGAAUGCUGGCGGUGCUCUCACUCUAGUGGUAGCAUGCGAUGGAGUCUACAACCCACACAAGUGGCUCAGGUAGUGCAGCUCAUCCAGGAUGGCACAUCAAUGUGAGCUGUGGCAAGAAGGUUUGCUGUGUCUGUCAGCGUAGUGUCCAGAGCAUGGAGGCGCUACCAGGAGACAGGCCAGUACAUCAGGAGAUGU